GACGAACGCUGGCGGCGUGCUUAACACAUGCAAGUCGAACGGAAAUUCCCUGCUUUUGUGGGGUGCUCUAGUGGCGAACGGGUGAGUAACACGUGAGUAACCUGCCUUUGACUUUGGGAUAACUUCAGGAAACUGGGGCUAAUACCUGAUAAGAGCUCCUGCUGCAUGGUGGGGGUUUGAAAGUUUCGGCGGUUGUGGAUGGACUCGCGGCUUAUCAGCUUGUUGGUGGGGUAGUGGAUUACCAAGGCUUUGACGGGUAGCCGGCCUGAGAGGGUGACAGGCCACAUUGGGACUGAGAUACGGCCAAGACGCCUACGGGAGGCAGCAGUGGGGAAUAGUGCACAAUGGGCGGAAGCAUGAUGCAGCAACGCCGCGUGCGGGAUGACGGCCUUCGGGUUGUAAACCGCUUUCGCCUGUGACGAAGCGUGAGUGACGGUAAUGGGUAAAGAAGCACCGGCUAACUACGUG
rnacentral:rRNA from 1 species